AGUGAACGCUGGCGGCGUGCUUAACACAUGCAAGUCGAACGAGAACGGAUUAUAGCUUGCUAUAAUUGUCAGCUAAGUGGCGCACGGGGGAGUAAUGUAUAGGUAAUAUGCCUCUUACUAAGGGAUAACAAAUGGAAACGUUUGCUAAUACCUUAUACUCCUUAUUAACAGAAGUUAAUAAGGGAAAGAUUUAUUGGUAAGAGAUUAGCCUGUAUUGUAUCAGUUAGUUGGUGGGGUAAUGGCUUACCAAGACUAUGACACAUAACUGGUUUGAGAGGAUGAUCAGUCACACUGGAACUGAGACACGGUCCAGACUCCUACGGGAGGCAGCAGUGGGGAAUAUUGCACAAUGGACGAAAGUCUGAUGCAGCAACGCCGCGUGGAGGGUGACACAUUUCGGUGCGUAAGCUCUUUUACCAGGGACGAUAAUGACGGUACCUGGAGAAUAAGCCCCGGCAAACUUCGUGCCAGCCGCCGCAGUAACAC
rnacentral:rRNA from 1 species